UUCUGCAAACUCAAGUUGGGGAUUUCUGUCAUAAAGCCUCUCUUACACAAAAAAUCACACACAUUUUUUGUGAGGUGUCUUUACGGAUUCUGUAGACCAUCCCAGCCCCUUGUGGCAUGCUCCAGUCACAGGACUCUGCUGGAGCUCCAACACAGCCAUCCAGAAAGGAUUCCCCAAAAAUUAAUUCCCCAAAGCAAAUUCAUAUUUGGGGAGCGUGGAUGCACGAAGUUUGCUCCCUUAAACCUCACAUCUCACCUGCAAGCUGCUGAAUUAGGGCCAAACGCUGCUGAGCACACUCACACCAGCAAAUCCCCACUGGCUGCAGACACACCAAGGCUUCAGGCAAAAGAAAUGAGGUGUGUCAGUGUCACACAGCCAUAUGCACACAGAGGCAGGGAGAAAGGAAGAGCACAGGGAUGCCACAGGGGGGAGGAUGCCACAUCCUGAGCCCUUGUCAGCUCAGCUCCCUGUCACCUUCACUGCCUGGGAGUGAAGUGCCUGCUCUGCCUCCACCUUCCCCCACUGCCACCCUGCAGCAAGUCUCUGUUUAUGCCAUCUGCCUCACAGAGGGGAGCUGAAGUGCAUAUAAAUUGAUUAGCAGGAGCCCGUGAGGAUCCCCCAGCAUGACAUACUGGCGGGUGCUAGGAGAGGGUUGAAUUAAUUUUGAGUGAUCAGCGGGGAAAAGUCUUUCUCCAAAACAUGUUGCACCGAGAAAACACUUUCUACGCUUCUUUUUUAACUGGUGGGUUUCAUAGCAACUGUUUUCAGCAGGAGAGGUGAGCAGGAGGAUGUAUGAGCUUGUCACUGGUGCAAAUCAAUUACUACCCUAAAUUCUCCAUCGUGCACAUGCAGAGCAGCAAGGGCAGGCUGCUAACCAGGGAAUGCUGUGAGUCUGGUCCUCAUGCCCUCAUCCCAACAAGAGCAGGGCAUAACCCAAGCAGACUCACUGAAGCCAGCUGAAUCAGCAUCUCAAGGAUGUUUAGACAACGUGGGUAUGUGUAAUGAUGCAACCAAUGCUUCUCUGUAAAUCUGUAGGGAAUAAGGACCCAGCUGUGGACCUGCAUCCAUGAGCUGCUGGGGCAAUGGCCAGGGAUCCCAUACCUCUUGGGGCAUCUGACUUUUACCUUUAGGUGUUUUGCAGCAGUUUUCACACUGAGUGCCAGACAGAAAUUUCCCAUUCACUUUUUUUUUUUUUUUUUUCCAUUUGUAAGCUGACUGUUCCCACUGCCUGUAAAUCAUCCUACUUCUGUGCUGCAGUGAAAUCUUCGCAGCAAGUUGCAGCGUUUAAUUAUUCAUUUUCCGAAGAAAAAUAAUCCUCUUUCCCUUUUCAACUCUCCCCUUCCAAUGCAAUCAAAUCUGUCCAUGCUCAUUAGUGUUUACCCUCUUUUGUCUCCUUAUCCUUUUAUUUAUUUAAAAAAGAUGUGUCACGGAUCUUUUCUUUACUGAG
rnacentral:lncRNA from 1 species